rnacentral:snoRNA from 1 species
UCAUGAUGAUCCUCAGAUGACGAGUCUGAGCCGCGUGUGGUUGAGGUUUCCUCUUCCCCUGGUUUUGACGAUAACAUCUUUAAUUACCAUUCAUGCAUUCCUGAAA